AGCGUUGCUCGGAAUCACUGGGCGUAAAGCGCACGUAGGCGGACUCUUAAGUCGGUGGUGAAAUCCUGGAGCUCAACUCCAGAACUGCCUUCGAUACUGAGAGUCUCGAGUCCGGGAGAGGUGAGUGGAACUGCGAGUGUAGAGGUGAAAUUCGUAGAUAUUCGCAAGAACACCAGUGGCGAAGGCGGCUCACUGGCCCGGUACUGACGCUGAGGUGCGAAAGCGUGGGGAGCAAACAGG
rnacentral:rRNA from 1 species